rnacentral:rRNA from 1 species
CAGUAGCCACGGUAAGACAGAGGAUGCAAGCGUUAUCCGGAAUGAUUGGGCGUAAAGCGUCCGUAGGUGGCUUUUCAAGUCCGCCGUCAAAUCCCAGGGCUCAACCCUGGACAGGCGGUGGAAACUACCAAGCUGGAGUACGGUAGGGGCAGAGGGAAUUCUCGGAGUAGCGGUAAAAUGCGUAGAUCUCGAGAGGAACACCAAUGGCGAAGGCAGCUUCUUGGUCCAUUCCUGACGUUCAUACACGAAAGCGUGGGGAGCAAACAGGAUUAGAUACCCGCGUAGUCCCUGUCUCUUAUAC